CACCACGAUAGGGUUUGUAUUGUGUCGUCUUUGUAAUUUUAGUCCCGUACGUAGCAGAAUGCACCUUGCACGAAUAUUUCACCGGGCUAGCGCCUAUAGAUGCCGUUGAUUCUAGCUGCUAUGAACUUGCAGCUUCAUGGAGUAGCUAGCUGGAAAAUUGAUCUGUUAAGAAGGAAUUUUUAUUUAUUGGUAGAUUAUAUACAGUGUUUAAUUUCACAAUAUAAGAAAUUUUCAUCUUUUUAUAAGCUUUGCUUUGGUAGUUGUAUUUGGGCCAUUUGGCCUUGUAAUGGCCCUUAAAUUUAGGACUCAAAAAACAAUUAUAUUGUGCAUU